GUGGAUAUAGUUCAGUUGGUUAGAGCGCCAGGUUGUGGCCCUGGAGGUCGUGGGUUCGAAUCCCACUAUUCACCCCA
rnacentral:tRNA from 1 species